rnacentral:rRNA from 1 species
UCUUAUCGGUGGAUCACUCGGCUCGUGGGUCGAUGAAGAGCGCAGCUAACUGCGAUAACUAGUGUGAACCGCAGAAACAUUGAACACUAAAGUCUCGAAUGCACAUUGCGCCAUCGGAGUCUCAUCCUUUGGAGCGCCUGGUUCAGGGUCGUAAACCAAACAAAAGCAAAAUUUGCUUCAGAGCAAGGAAUAUUCAUGUAGACAAUUGGGGCAUGUCUAUUUGAAAAUAUGCGAGAGGAGGCCGUCGCCUUGUGUGU